UUCCUAAUUGGGUUAUAAUUUCGCUUUCCGUUCCGAAAUGAUCAACUUUUGCAAAGAUUAAAUGUACUAAUUCGUAUGUUUUCUUUUUUCUCCAGGUGACAAAAGGAUUUCAAAAACCGGCCUCCAGUUAUUAAAGUGUUUUUUCCCGAGUUCUGCGGCUCCUGAUCCUCUGCGCUCCGACGAACUCAUUUCCAAUCCACUCCAGCAACUCGUCGUGCUUUGGCAGGUUCUUCCUGACAAUGUGUGCUUUUUCUUGAACUUUAUUUUGAUAUCGGUGGCUUGAUCUGUAGUGUACCCUUUGUAUAUCGAUAUAUAUUAUUGUUAACCUGCAUGUUUCCUGUUGACUGAUGUUAUUGUAUGUGCUGCGGCUCCUGGUUCUCUGCACUCCGACGAUCUCCGGCAAUUUAUUGACAAAGUGUGCUUUU